UACGGAGGGGGCUAGCGUUGUUCGGAAUUACUGGGCGUAAAGGGCGCGUAGGCGGCCACCGCAAGUCGGUUGUGAAAUCUCCGGGCUUAACCCGGAAAGGUCAAUCGAUACUGCGGGGCUAGAGUGCAGAAGGGGCAACUGGAAUUCUCGGUGUAGCGGUGAAAUGCGUAGAUAUCGAGAGGAACACCUGCGGCGAAGGCGGGUUGCUGGGCUGACACUGACGCUGAAGCGCGAAAGCUAGGGGAGCGAACGGG
rnacentral:rRNA from 1 species